GUUUGUCAGUGAGAGUGUAUGUGUGUCAGUGAGAUUGUAUGUGUCUGUCAAAGAGUAUGUGUGUCAGUGUGUAUCUGUGUGUCAAGGUUUGUGUAUGUGUCACUGUGUGUAUCUAAGUGUGUGUAUGUGCCAGUGUGUAUCAGUGAGUUUGUUUGUGCCUGUGUGUGUGUAUCUGAGUGUGUCAGUGUGUGUAUGUGCCAGUAUGUAUCUGUG